rnacentral:lncRNA from 1 species
CUUGGGAUGGAGUUAAAGGUGCAGAUCACGUAGAAGGGUUCGGGAAAUGCUCUCGAGCGUGAUCUGCCUUCUCAGGGUCUUGUAAGUCGAAGCCUCAGGACCGAGCGGAAAAAGGUCCGCUGUACUUACUAUUCAAAACGCAAAUUAUUGAUUCGUGAGGUCAACAUCUCCCAACAGUGGGUGAGUCGCCUAUUGGCCUCGAAUUUCCCUUCCCCCACCGCAAGCAUGCACUUCACUUUCACGCUAAGGAGGAUGCAACCAACCAAUACAAGCUCCAAGAAAACCAGAGUUGGGGCUUCCUAUUGCAAAACUAAACGUUCCAAAGGAACCAGGUCAUGUCACUGUAGGCAUCUAAAAUGUAACGCUUCUUCAGAUUAAAUCUAUUUUUGUUGUGG